GGCUCGGUGGUGUAGUUGGUUAUCACGUCAGUCUAACACACUGAAGGUCCCGAGUUCAAGCCUCGGCUGAGUCA
rnacentral:tRNA from 2 species